GACGAACGCUGGCGGCGUGCUUAACACAUGCAAGUCGAACGGAAAGGCCCUGCUUUUGUGGGGUGCUCGAGUGGCGAACGGGUGAGUAACACGUGAGUAACCUGCCCUUGACUUUGGGAUAACUUCAGGAAACUGGGGCUAAUACCGGAUAGGAGCUCCUGCAGCAUGGUGGGGGUUGGAAAGUUUCGGCGGUUGGGGAUGGACUCGCGGCUUAUCAGCUUGUUGGUGGGGUAGUGGCUUACCAAGGCUUUGACGGGUAGCCGGCCUGGGAGGGUGACCGGCCACAUUGGGACUGAGAUACGGCCCAGACUCCUACGGGAGGCAGCAGUGGGGAAUAUUGCACAAUGGGCGGAAGCCUGAUGCAGCAACGCCGCGUGCGGGAUGACGGCCUUCGGGUUGUAAACCGCUUUCGCCUGUGACGAAGCGUGAGUGACGGUAAUGGGUAAAGAAGCACCGGCUAACUACGUG
rnacentral:rRNA from 1 species